GAUGAACGCUGGCGGCGUGCCUAAUACAUGCAAGUCGAGCGAAUGGAUUAAGAGCUUGCUCUUAUGAAGUUAGCGGCGGACGGGUGAGUAACACGUGGGUAACCUGCCCAUAAGACUGGGAUAACUCCGGGAAACCGGGUCUAAUUCCGGAUAACAUUCUGAACCGCAUGGUUCGAAAUUGAAAGGCGGCUUCGGCUGUCACUUAUGGAUGGACCGGCGUCGCAUUAGCUAGUUGGUGAGGUAACGGCUCACAAAGGCAACGAUGCGUAGCCGACCUGAGAGGGUGAUCGGCCACACUGGGACUGAGACACGGCCCAGACUCCUACGGGAGGCAGCAGUAGGGAAUCUUCCGCAAUGGACGAAAGUCUGACGGAGCAACGCCGCGUGAGUGAUGAAGGCUUUCGGGUCGUAAAACUCUGUUGUUAGGGAAGAACAAGUGCUAGUUGAAUAAGCUGGCACCUUGACGGUACCUAACCAGAAAGCCACGGCUAACUACGUGCCAGCCGCCGCCGUAA
rnacentral:rRNA from 1 species